GACGAACGCUGGCGGCGUGCUUAACACAUGCAAGUCGAACGAGAAUCUGCUGAAGGAGGAUUCGUCCAACGGAAGCAGAGGAAAGUGGCGGACGGGUGAGUAACGCGUGAGGAACCUGCCUUGAAGAGGGGGACAACAGUUGGAAACGACUGCUAAUACCGCAUGACGCAUAGAGGUCGCAUGAUCUUUAUGCCAAAGAUUUAUCGCUUCAAGAUGGCCUCGCGUCUGAUUAGCUGGUUGGCGGGGUAACGGCCCACCAAGGCGACGACCAGUAGCCGGACUGGGAGGUUGAACGGCCACAUUGGGACUGAGAUACGGCCCAGACUCCUACGGGAGGCAGCAGUGGGGAAUAUUGGGCAAUGGGCGCAAGCCUGACCCAGCAACGCCGCGUGAAGGAAGAAGGCUUUCGGGUUGUAAACUUCUUUUAAGAGGGAAGAGCAGAAGACGGUACCUCUAGAAUAAGCCACGGCUAACUACGUGCCAGCCGCCGCCGUAA
rnacentral:rRNA from 1 species